rnacentral:misc_RNA from 1 species
AAGAGUUUCUGAUUUUGGAUUGUCCAGAAUAGGAUUGAGUGACAAUGCAGUUAGUACUGCAGUAAAAGGGACCUGGGGAUAUUUGGAUCCGGAAUAUGCACGAUUUCAGCAAUUGACAGCAAAAUCUGAUGUUUACUCGUUUGGUGUGGUUCUAUUUGAAGUAUUAUGUGGUCGAAAACCACUCGAUCACAAGUUAGAGCAUAAGGAGAAGAAUUUAGCCAAUUGGGCACAAGAAUGCAUUCAAAAUGGCACCAUUUACCUCAUUAUUGAUCCAUAUCUGAAGGCCAAGAUUGCUCCAGAGUGUUUCACAAAAUUCGUGGAAAUUGCAGAAAGUUGUGUGCGUAAUCAAGGAAGUGAAAGGCCCACCAUGCAGGAUGUGAUGGGAGAGCUUGAGUUUGCAUUGGAGCUACAAGAGACUGCUGAUGCUGACAAGGAAAGAAUCAAUCCUGGGGGUGAAUAUGUGUAUCCUGAAGUAUCAUUCAAUGCUCCUAGUCCUAGAUGUACCAAUCCUGGUGGAUGCGAGUUUGAACAAGUUAGUACAAGUGGUUACACUUCAUGGGAUACAAACAACGCUACACCGUGUUCCAG